ensembl:snoRNA
AGCACUUAUGUAUGUUUUUCUUUAACUUGUGAACAAAGACUUAGAGACAAGUGCAAAAAUGAGUUCUCUUUACAACCCAGAACUCAUUGCUCAAUAUGAGUGUUCACAUAUAUAUUAUAUAAAUGAAGGAAUAUG